rnacentral:rRNA from 1 species
GACGAACGCUGGCGGCGUGCUUAACACAUGCAAGUCGAACGGAAAGGCCCUGCUUUUGUGGGUUGCUCGAGUGGCGAACGGGUGAGUAACACGUGAGUAAACUGCCCCUGACUUUGGGAUAACUUCAGGAAACUGGGGCUCAUACCGGAUAGGAGCUCCUGCUGCAUGGUGGGGAUUGGAAAGUUUCGGCGGUUGGGGAUGGACUCGCGGCUUAUCAGCUUGUUUGUGGGGUAGUGGCUUACCAAGGCUUUGACGGGUAGCCGGCCUGAGAGGGUGACCGGCGACAUUGGGACUGAGAGACGGACCAGACGCCAACGGGAGGCAGCAGUGGGGAAUAUUGCACAGUGGGGGGAAGCCUGAUGCAGCAACGCUGCGUGCGGGAUGACGGCCUUCGGGUUGUAAACCGCUUUGGCAUGUGACGAAGCGUGAGUGACGGUAAUGGGUAAAGAAGCACCGGCUAACUACGUG